rnacentral:SRP_RNA from 1 species
GUGGGGCGUGGUGGCGUGUGCCUGUAGUCUCAGCUACUCGGGAGGCUGGGAUGGGAGGAUCACUUGAACCCAGGAGUUCUGGGCUGUAGUGCGCUAUGCUGAUCGGGUGUCCGCACUAAGUUGAGCAUCAAUAUGGUGACCUCCCAGGAGCGGGGGACCACCAGGUUGCCUAAGGACAGGUGAACCGGCCCAGGUCGGAAAUGGAGCAGAUCAAAACUCCCGUGCUGAUCAGUAGUGGGAUCGUGCCUGUGAAUAGCCACUGCACUCCAGCCUGGGCAACAUAGCGAAACCCCGUCUCU